rnacentral:rRNA from 1 species
GAAGGUUGGGUAACACUAACUGGAGGACCGAACCGACUAAUGUUGAAAAAUUAGCGGAUGACCUGUGGCUGGGGGUGAAAGGCCAAUCAAACCGGGAGAUAGCUGGUUCUCCCCGAAAGCUAUUUAGGUAGCGCCUCGUGAAUUCAUCUCCGGGGGUAGAGCACUGUUUCGGCUAGGGGGCCAUCCCGGCUUACCAACCCGAUGCAAACUGCGAAUACCGGAGAAUGUUAUCACGGGAGACACACGGCGGGUGCUAACGUCCGUCGUGAAGAGGGAAACAACCCAGACCGCCAGCUAAGGUCCCAAAGUCAUGGUUAAGUGGGAAACGAUGUGGGAAGGCCCAGACAGCCAGGAUGUUGGCUUAGAAGCAGCCAUCAUUUAAAGAAAGCGUAAUAGCUCACUGGUCGAGUCGGCCUGCGCGGAAGAUGUAACGGGGCUAAACCAUGCACCGAAGCUGCGGCAGCGAACGUAUCACUUAAAGCGAUUCAGCGGGUUACGAUUGACGGAGCGAAGCGACGUCAAAGCGUAUACAA